rnacentral:rRNA from 1 species
GAUGAACGCUAGCUACAGGCUUAACACAUGCAAGUCGAGGGGUAACGAGAGGAAAGCUUGCUUUCCUUGUCGACGACCGGCGCACGGGUGAGUAACGCGUAUCCAACCUGCCCCCAACUAAGGAAUAACCUUGCGACAGUAAGACUAAUACCUUAUAAUUUCCUCAGAUGACAUCUGACGAGGAAUAAAGAUUUAUCGGUUGUGGAUGGGGAUGCGUCUGAAUAGCUUGUUGGCGGGGUAACGGCCCACCAAGGCAACGAGCAGUAGGGGUUCUGAGAGGAAGGUCCCCCACAUUGGAACUGAGACACGGUCCAAACUCCUACGGGAGGCAGCAGUGAGGAAUAUUGGUCAAUGGGCGGAAGCCUGAACCAGCCAAGUAGCGUGCAGGAUGACGGCCCUGUGGGUUGUAAACUGCUUUUAUACAGGAAUAAAGUUAGCCACGUGUGGUUAUUUGUAGGUACUGUAUGAAUAAGGACCGGCUAAUUCCGUGCCAGCCGCCGCCGUAA